CGGUGGGGGGAGCUUAUACAUGCAAGUCGAGCGGACAGAAGGGAGCUUGCUCCCGGAUGUUAGCGGCGGACGGGUGAGUAACACGUGGGUAACCUGCCUGUAAGACUGGGAUAACUCCGGGAAACCGGAGCUAAUACCGGAUAGUUCCUUGAACCGCAUGGUUCAAGGAUGAAAGACGGUUUCGGCUGUCACUUACAGAUGGACCCGCGGCGCAUUAGCUAGUUGGUGAGGUAACGGCUCACCAAGGCGACGAUGCGUAGCCGACCUGAGAGGGUGAUCGGCCACACUGGGACUGAGACACGGCCCAGACUCCUACGGGAGGCAGCAGUAGGGAAUCUUCCGCAAUGGACGAAAGUCUGACGGAGCAACGCCGCGUGAGUGAUGAAGGUUUUCGGAUCGUAAAGCUCUGUUGUUAGGGAAGAACAAGUGCAAGAGUAACUGCUUGCACCUUGACGGUACCUAACCAGAAAGCCACGGCUAACUACGUGCCAGCAGCCGCGGUAAUACGUAGGUGGCAAGCGUUGUCCGGAAUUAUUGGGCGUAAAGGGCUCGCAGGCGGUUUCUUAAGUCUGAUGUGAAAGCCCCCGGCUCAACCGGGGAGGGUCAUUGGAAACUGGGAAACUUGAGUGCAGAAGAGGAGAGUGGAAUUCCACGUGUAGCGGUGAAAUGCGUAGAGAUGUGGAGGAACACCAGUGGCGAAGGCGACUCUCUGGUCUGUAACUGACGCUGAGGAGCGAAAGCGUGGGGAGCGAACAGGAUUAGAUACCCUGGUAGUCCACGCCGUAAACGAUGAGUGCUAAGUGUUAUGGGGUUUCCGCCCCUUAGUGCUGCAGCUAACGCAUUAAGCACUCCGCCUGGGGAGUACGGUCGCAAGACUGAAACUCAAAGGAAUUGACGGGGGCCCGCACAAGCGGUGAGCAUGUGGUUUAAUUUCGAAGCAACGCGGAGAACCUUACCAGUCUUGACAUCCUCUGACAACCCUAGAGAUAGGGCUUUCCCUUCAGGACAGAGUGACAGGUGGUGCAUGCUGUCGUCAGCUCGUGUCGUGAGAUGUGGGUUAAGUCCCCGCAACGAGCCGCAAUCCU
rnacentral:rRNA from 1 species